UACGGAGGGUGCAAGCGUUAUCCGGAUUCACUGGGUUUAAAGGGAGCGUAGGUGGGUGUGAAGUCAGUGGUGAAAUCCCCGAGCUUAACUUGGGAACUGCCAUUGAUACUAUCAGUCUUGAAUACUGUGGAGGUUAGCGGAAUAUGUCAUGUAGCGGUGAAAUGCUUAGAUAUGACAUAGAACACCAAUUGCGAAGGCAGCUGGCUACACAAUUAUUGACACUGAGGCUCGAAAGCGUGGGGAUCAAACAGG
rnacentral:rRNA from 1 species